GCCACUGCACUCCAGCAUGGGUGACAGAGUGAGACACUGUCUCAAAAGAAAAAAGAAAGAAAGCACGUACUUCAUGUUUUGCUAUUUCCAUCUUAGGUAUUUAUUUAUUUGUUUUUACCUUAUAGCUUGCAUAUUUAUUGAACAAAUACUACUAAAAUAGCUAAAAUACACUGGGUACUUGUCAUGAGUGCAUUAGUAAAGCUCACGUUGUUACAAAAGCCCGCAUUUUCCACAGUACACAACUGCAACUCUACAUAAAUGCCACAGGUGCGGAAUACUGUUUUUUUUUCUCUAUUUGCACAGCUGAUGUACCUAUUCUAACAAAGGAAAGAGAGGAGGAAUGCACAAGAAACUCAGGCCAAUGGGGAAGCAAGAAGAGAACGAAGAUGUGCAGUGCAUGGGUCAUCAGUGUGUUGACGAAGAGUCAAACUUGGCUGAGCGAGGCAGGCGAGGUAAUGGAAAAGAAGAAAUUUGGAUGUAGAACCAGACUCAAUUUCCCAGUCUUGCUCCUGGGUAUGUGGUCUGUUGACUAUCUUCCUCCCAAAUCCUCCACUCUUGUUUUCUUGUUAUCUGCGAAGCUGGAAGUCAGAGGACUCUGAUGCCCUAGGUGAUGGCGGAGAUACAAGAUUGAAGGAGCCUGGGUCCCGAGUCAUUGCUUGGAAAGAGCCAUACAGCAGGGCCACCUGUCCAGGAACACUCACAUUGUGUUAUUUCACAAAUGAAAAAUGAACACUGGAGUGCUGGGGCUGAUUGUCACAGCGGUUAGCCUCCUCUGAAGAACGCAGCUGGAUUUCACCCUCUCUCUAGCUAUGGAGCUCAUCCACAUUUGCUUCCUAAUUGAUGCUUUGAUGAGUAUCAUUAAUCCAUUUUUUUAUGACUUUUUUUAAAAAACAAAAUGCAUCUUCCAUUUUCCAUGACUACUAGAACUAUAGACAAAAGAUGCAAGAAAAUAUUUACUCUAUUAGGGGCAUUAAAUAGUAUUUAAUUUCUUUCUUUUGACUACACAAACUUUUGAAGUUUUAGGACAGUAGCUGCAUAGAUCUACUUGUAAGAGAAAAAUUAAUUUUUAAUUUCUCUUAUUAUUUGGAAUGUUCUCUUGAAAUUAGUAAGUUCAAAAUCCAGUUGAUUUUCCCUUUGUUAAUCUGAUAUAAUUAAUUUAUAUAAAUGUUUUCCAGGCUAAAGCCCAAGUACAUGGAAAUUUACAUAGUAAAAACCAGGAAAUAAUGUUACUGUUUAUCAUGUUGGCUCCUGCACUUUCAAGUUACCUUUCUUACCUUAUUACUUGGGAACAAUGAUGUCAUGGCUUAGAAUUUAGAUGUUUCUAGGUACUUACUUUGUGAUUAUCAGCAACCUUACUAUAUGACAGCUUGUUUUGUACACUGAAUUUAAAAAGAGUUAAUACAAUACUUCAAGUGUAUUUAAUAAAAUGGCUUGGCAUUUCACGUGCAAACAUGUUUUGGAAACUUAAAGUAACUUUAUUAUUUCCUGGACUUUAUUAAUUGAUUGACAUCAAGAUAGGCUAACUCAGACCAAAAGUAUUCAUAUUUCCACAGGAAUAGUUAUUAAAAAGGUGAGGAAAGAAAAACAAACAAUGAUAUAAACACUGAAUAGAUCAGAAAAACAAUGUUUGAAUUAUGAUAAUUCAGAUGUGAAAGAAGAGUGACCAAAUGCAAGAAAAAUGAACAUGAGGGAAGUUAAAUAAAGGGAGAUGUGAGCUGAAAGAAAACACAAUCAAUAUAGAUGGGC
rnacentral:lncRNA from 1 species